UACGUAGGUGGCAAGCGUUGUCCGGAAUUAUUGGGCGUAAAGUCGCGCGCAGGCGGCCUCUUAAGUCUGAUGUGAAAGCCCCCCGGCUCAACCGGGGAGGGCCAUUGGAAACUGGGAGGCUUGAGUAUAGGAGAGAAGAGUGGAAUUCCACGUGUAGCGGUGAAAUGCGUAGAGAUGGUGGAGGAACACCAGUGGCGAAGGCGACUCUUUGGCCUAUAACUGACGCUGAAGGCGCGAAAGCGUGGGGGAGUCAAACAGG
rnacentral:rRNA from 1 species